AAAUGUUUAGAUUAUAGAAGAUUCCUUCAAUGAUUGUGUGAAAUAUAUCACCGAGAUCCUGGGAUGGAAUUCUGAUCCUGGUAUUGGAAUGGGUCAUUGUUGUGUGUAUACGGGCAAAUGCAUAAAAAGUUUAUCAAAUAACGCUUGGUUACUUCGACGAGUAUCCAGAAAAAAAACAUGAAUCAUUAAACAAUUUAGAACUAUUUACUGAAGUUUUCAAGUAUCAUUGCGAAAAACAAAAUCGAUCCGUAAUACAAUGCGCUCUUGUUUGGAAUGAAGAAUUGCCUUCAUAGAUUUCAAAAUAUUUAGUGACCUUUUUAGAUAAUACCAUUGUAACAAACUAAAGUUAACCCUAAACAAAUGCGCUGCACAAAGGAAAGAGGCAACGAUGGUCAAGAUACAAAAUUGGUCAGAAGACAAAAGUAAAAAUGCGGAACGUUGGAAAGAGCUAACUCAGCAGAUUGAUGAAAUGGACCUGAAUGAAUAGUCAAAUAAUAUUAUGUUAAUAAUGUCAAAUUAAAUUACACUAUUUUUAAUAU